UACGUAGGGUGCAAGCGUUGUCCGGAAUUAUUGGGCGUAAAGAGCUCGUAGGCGGUCUGUUGCGUCGGCUGUGAAAACCUGAGGCUCAACCUCAGGCCUGCAGUCGAUACGGGCGGACUUGAGUACUGCAGGGGAGACUGGAAUUCCUGGUGUAGUGGUGGAAUGCGUAGAGAUCCGGAGGAACACCAGCGGCGAAGGCGGCAUCCUGGACUGGUCCUGACACUCAGGAGCGAAAGCGUGGGGAGCGAUCCGG
rnacentral:rRNA from 1 species